GAUGAACGCUGGCGGCGUGCCUAAUACAUGCAAGUCGAGCGAACAGACGAGGAGCUUGCUCCUCUGACGUUAGCGGCGGACGGGUGAGUAACACGUGGAUAACCAACCUAUAAGACUGGGAUAACUUCGGGAAACCGGAGCUAAUACCGGAUAAUAUAUUGAACCGCAUGGUUCAAUAGUGAAAGACGGUUUUGCUGUCACUUAUAGAUGGAUCCGCGCCGCAUUAGCUAGUUGGUAAGGUAACGGCUUACCAAGGCAACGAUGCGUAGCCGACCUGAGAGGGUGAUCGGCCACACUGGAACUGAGACACGGUCCAGACUCCUACGGGAGGCGGCAGUAGGGAAUCUUCCGCAAUGGGCGAAAGCCUGACGGAGCAACGCCGCGUGAGUGAUGAAGGUCUUCGGAUCGUAAAACUCUGUUAUUAGGGAAGAACAAAUGUGUAAGUAACUAUGCACGUCUUGACGGUACCUAAUCAGAAAGCCACGGCUAACUACGUG
rnacentral:rRNA from 1 species